rnacentral:rRNA from 1 species
UCUAGAGGCUUCGGCAAUGGGGGAAACCCUGACCGAGCGACGCCGCGUGCGGGAUUGACGGCCUUCGGGCUGUAAACCGCUGUCAGGAGGGAAGAAUGCCCGGGUGGCGAACCCGGGAGAGACGGUACCUCUGGAGGAAGCCCCGGCUAACUCCGUGCCAGCAGCCGCGGUAAUACGGAGGGGGCAAGCGUUGUUCGGGUUUACUGGGCGUAAAGAGUGCGUAGGCGGCCGUGUAAGUCUGGUGUGAAAUCUUCACCGCUCAACGGGAAGAGGUCACUGGAAACUGCGCGGCUUGAGUGUGGUAGAGGCAAGCGGAAUUCCUGGUGUAGCGGUGGAAUGUGUAGAUAUCAGGAAGAACACCGGUGGCGAAGGCGGCUUGCUGGGCCAUUACUGACGCUGAGGCACGAAAGCGUGGGGAGCGAACG